GACGAACGCUGGCGGCGUGCUUAACACAUGCAAGUCGAACGGAAAGGCCCGGCUUUUGUGGGUUGCUCGAUUGCCGAACGGGUGAUUAACACGUGAUUAACCUGCCCUUGCCUUUGGGUUAAUUUCAGGAAACUGGGGCUAUUACCGGAUAGAAGCUCUUGCUGCAUGUUGGGGGUUGGAAAGUUUCGGCGGUUGGGGAUGGACUCGCGGCUUAUCAGCUUGUUGGUGGGGUAGUGGCUUACCAAGGCUUUGACGGGUAGCCGGCCUGAGAGGGUGACCGGCCACAUUGGGACUGAGAUACGGCCCAGACUCCUACGGGAGGCAGCAGUGGGGAAUAUUGCACAAUGGGCGGAAGCCUGAUGCAGCAACGCCGCGUGCGGGAUGACGGCCUUCGGGUUGUAAACCGCUUUCGCCUGUGACGAAGCGUGAGUGACGGUAAUGGGUAAAGAAGCACCGGCUAACUACGUG
rnacentral:rRNA from 1 species